GACGAACCGUGCGAACGUUGUUCGGAAUCACUGGGCUUAAAGGGCGCGUAGGCGGCCUGCCAAGUCAGGGGGUGAAAGCCCCCAGCUCAACUGGGGAAGUGCCUUUGAUACUGGCGGGCUCGAGCGAGGCAGGGGUCGUGGGAACUUCCGGUGGAGCGGUGAAAUGCGUUGAUAUCGGAAGGAACGCCGGUGGCGAAAGCGCACGACUGGUCCUCUUCUGACGCUGAGGCGCGAAAGCCAGGGGAGCAAACGGG
rnacentral:rRNA from 1 species